AUAACAACAGUGAUGAAGAGAGUAGAUAAAUUUGUCUUUUUCAGGGAGAAAAAAUCAUAGACUGAAAAUUUUUUCAUAAGAUAUUUUAUUGAAGUUCACUUCGGAGUUCUAAGAAUGAAAUUAAUAGUAGUUCUUAGCGGUUUAUACCGUUAUUUAUAUCUAGAGAGAAUUUUGUGAAAUUAACUAGGGUGGUACCGCGGAGUAAGUUCGUCCCUUUA
rnacentral:ncRNA from 1 species